CUUAGAGAAAAAGGGAGGCUGUGCUGGAGGAUGGAGACAUCUCUGUUGAUGAACCUAGGCAUGAAAAGGGAAGGAUCUCAAUCCGGCAUACGAUAAAGCUGAUUUCAGCUGAACGCGAGGAAGGAGAAGAAGAUGCUGAUCUGCAUGCUGCAAAUAAAAUUAUUCAUAGCAAGCAUUACAA